GUAGGUGGCAAGCGUUGUCCGGGAAUUAUUGGGGCGUAAAGCGCGCGCAGGCGGUUCUUUAAGUCUGAUGUGAAAGCCCACGGGCUCAGCCGUGGAGGGUCAUUGGAAACUGGAGAACUUGAGUACAGAAGAGGAAAGCGGAAUUCCACGUGUAGCGGUGAAAUGCGUAGAGAUGUGGAGGAACACCAGUGGCGAAGGCGGCUUUCUGGUCUGUAACUGACGCUGAGGCGCGAAAGCGUGGGGAGCAAACAGGAUUAGAUACCCUGGUAGUCCACGCCGUAAACGAUGAGUGCUAAGUGUUAGGGGGUUUCCGCCCCUUAGUGCUGCAGCUAACGCAUUAAGCACUCCGCCUGGGGAGUACGGCCGCAAAGGCUG
rnacentral:rRNA from 1 species